rnacentral:rRNA from 1 species
AGGUACUCCGGGGAUAACAGGCUGAUACCGCCCAAGAGUUCAUAUCGACGGCGGUGUUUGGCACCUCGAUGUCGGCUCAUCACAUCCUGGGGCUGAAGUAGGUCCCAAGGGUACGGCUGUUCGCCGUUUAAAGUGGUACGCGAGCUGGGUUUAGAACGUCGUGAGACAGUUCGGUCCCUAUCUGCCAUGGGCGUAGGAAAAUUGAGAGGGUUUGCUUCUAGUACGAGAGGACCGAAGUGAACGCACCGCUGGUGUUCGGGUUGUGAUGCCAAUUGCAUUGCCCGGUAGCUACGUGCGGAAUAGAUAAGUGCUGAAAGCAUCUAAGCACGAAACUAGCCUUAAGAUGAGUUUUCCCUGAAGAGAUUCAGUAAGGUUCGUUUGAGACUAAGACGUAGAUAGGUCAGGUGUGUAAGUGUAGUGAUACAUUGAGCUAACUGAUACUAAUGAACCGAGAGUCUUAACCUUACAACUCGGAGUUGUUUUGU